CAGCCGCCGCGGUAACACGAAGGGGGCUAGCGUUGUUCGGACUUACCGGGCGUAAAGGGCGCGUAGGCGGACUGAUAAGUCAGGGGUGAAAUCCCAAGGCUCAACCUUGGAACUGCCUUUGAUACUGUUUGUCUUGAGUUCGAGAGAGGUAAGUGGAACUGCGAGUGUAGAGGUGAAAUUCGUAGAUAUUCGCAAGAACACCAGUGGCGAAGGCGGCUUACUGGCUCGAAACUGACGCUGAGGCGCGAAAGCGUGGGGAGCAAACAGGAUUAGAGACCCGCGUAGUCCCUGUCUCUUAUAA
rnacentral:rRNA from 1 species